rnacentral:tRNA from 1 species
UAGUGAUUAGUUUAAUAAAAACAAAUGAUUUCGACUCAUUAGACUAUGGAGUACCAUAAUCACUAU